AUGAGUAAAUUACUUGCUAUAGUCCUCCUGCUGCUACCUCUUACGAACCAUGGAACCUACUUGGCAACGGCAUGGGAUGAUAAAGAUUUCUUCAAAUACUGCCCACCAUCCCAGUGCAGCCAGCAUGGCCCAGAGAUCAGGUAUCCUUUCUGCCUCGAAUCAAGCAAUAAAUCAUCAUCAUCAUGUGGAUGUGGUGGCAGAACAAUCAGGAAGAUAGCAUGCUCUGGCCAGGACACCAUCCUAGUCCACCCAGUUUUUGGCCCAUACAGUGUCAGCGCCAUAGAUUACAAGCGUUCUUCCAUGAAGAUCACCCCGCUUGUAGACACCUGUUUGGUGCUCCAGCAGAAGCUCAUCAUCUCCAGAAGCUCAUCAUCUCCACAGGUUGAUGUUCUCAACCAUGAGAGGCCAAGUCUUGACCGAUUUUUCCUUUGGAGUUCUACAAACCUAGUACACUGUUCAAGAGAGUUUGCACCUGGUGCUGCCGAUAGGAUUGCUGGCCCACUCUCCUGCAUUAGCAACAUAACCCACUUCUUCUAUUUGGUGGCUGGUUAUGAAGACAUGUCUCUUCUUCCGUUGGACUGCAAGGUCGUCCCAGUCUCAGAUGGUGUCGGUGGCCGUCUGAAACCCAUGUAUUGGAGUUGCGGCCAAAUAUACGACCCACGGUCCUUCAAGGAAGCUGCAAAAACAUUUAUCAAUUCUGUUGAGACCACACUGUGUUGGACUGAUGAUGAUUGCAGAGAGUGUGAGCUCAGUGGGCUACGCUGCGCGUUCAGCUCACAACAGAAUCAAGCAUUCUGUAUGCCUGACGGUUCCCGUAUCAAAGUCAUCGCAGCUACAUCAUCGGUGGCCGCAUUUGUUGUUCUUUUGUUAACGGUGGCCACUGUGCUUUAUCUUUCACUCAAGACAAGAUAUAAUACGGAGAUACAUUUGAGGGUCGAAAUGUUUCUCAAGACAUAUGGAGCAUCGAAACCCACGAGGUACACUUUCUCUGAAGUUAAGAAGAUGGCAAGACGGUUUAAGGAAAAAGUAGGGCAGGGAGGAUUUGGAAGUGUAUACAAAGGCGAGCUACCAAAUGGAGUGCCCGUGGCAGUCAAGAUGCUAGAGAACUCUACAGGAGAGGGACAAGCAUUCAUCAAUGAAGUUGCAACCAUCGGACUAAUCCACCAUGCCAAUAUUGUCCGCCUCCUUGGAUUUUGUUCCGAAGGAAUGAGACGGGCUCUGAUUUAUGAAUUCAUGCCUAAUGAGUCACUAGAGAAAUAUAUUUUCUCUCGUGACUCUGCAAAUUUCCAGCAUCUUCUGGUACCCGACAAGCUGCUAGAUAUUGCUUUAGGCAUUGCCAGAGGAAUGGAGUACUUGCAUCAAGGGUGCAACCAGCGCAUCCUCCACUUUGACAUCAAGCCUCACAAUAUCCUGCUGGACUACAACUUCAAUCCAAAGAUCUCAGACUUUGGCCUUGCAAAGCUGUGCGCAAGGGACCAAAGCAUCGUCACCUUAACAGCAGCAAGAGGCACAAUGGGGUACAUUGCACCAGAGCUAUACUCUCGGAACUUUGGGGGAGUAUCGUACAAGUCACACGUGUACAGUUUCGGCAUGCUGGUGCUAGAAAUGGUAAGCGGGAGGAGGAAUUCAGACCCAAGAAUCGGGAGCCAGGACGAUGUUUACCUCCCAGAGUGGAUCUACGAGAAAGUUAUCAAUGGGGAGGAGUUGGUGCUUACUUUGGAAACGACUCGAGAGGAGAAAGAAAAGGUGAGGCAGCUGGCAAUGGUUGCACUGUGGUGUAUCCAGUGGAACCCAAGAAACCGGCCGUCGAUGACAAAGGUCGUUAACAUGCUAACAGGGAGGUUGCAGAGUCUGCAGAUGCCCCCAAAGCCUUACGUCUCAUAUGAAAAUGAACCUAUGCCAUAA
rnacentral:rRNA from 1 species